AAAACCGAAUCGUCGGACCAUUUAACUUUCAUAUUUACUUUCCUGCCUAUUUCGUACACUUUAAAAUUCUAAAAAAACGACAAAAAUUAUGAAGGUUAUUCUGAUCAUUGCCUUGGUUUGUGCUCUUUUCGCUGCUGCUGCGAAUGGACUGGCAUUACAGUGUCUCUCCAGUGGAAUGGCCUGUCUGAACGCAAAGAUCGAAUUUGGGGGCAUGUUUGACACGCUUGGCAAAUGUUGCGAUGGAUUGUCAUGUGCCGUUGUUGCACUGACUGAUACUUACGGCAUGUGCAAGUAAUUCAUGGUCAUAGGGUAUUUACUACAGAUAAUUGAGAUCAAUUGGAAAAUAAAUCAUUAACUUGCAAAUUUGAA